CCUACGGGCGGCAGCAGUGGGGAAUAUUGCACAAUGGGGGAAACCCUGAUGCAGCAACGCCGCGUGAAGGAGGACGGUUUUCGGAUUGUAAACUUCUGUUCUUAGUGAAGCAUAAUCACGGUAGCUAAGCAGCAAGCCACGGCUAACUACGUGCCAGCAGCCGCGGUAAUACGCAGGUGGCAAGCGUUGUCCGGAAUUACUGGGUGUAAAGGGAGCGCAGGCGGGAAGCCAAGUCAGCUGUGAAAACUACGGGCUUAACUUGUAGACCGCAGUUGAAACUGGGUGUCUUGAGUAAAGUAGAGGUUGGCGGAAUGCCGGGUGUAGCGGUGAAAUGCGUAGAUAUUCGGAGGAACACCGGUGGCGAAUGCGGCCAACUGGGCUUUAACUGACGCUGAGGCUCGAAAGUGUGGGGAGCAAACAGGAUUAGAUACCCGAGUAGUC
rnacentral:rRNA from 1 species